CCCGGAUGAUAUUGGACGCUUGCAUGUGCCCCCAGUCUUGGUCAAGCUCCUGCCUGGAGCACUGCCUCCCCGUAGACCACAGUAUCCUCUGAAGCCAGCACAAGCUGAUGCCAUCACUAAACAAGUUGAAAGCCUACUUGCCAAAGGUGCCCUCAUCAAGUGCACAUCCCCCUGUAACACACCACUUUUCCCUGUUAAAAAGAGAACUGUUAAGGGUCAACCCGACCAGUACCGAAUGGUGCAGGAUCUCCGUGCUGUUAAUGAAGUAACCAUAAAAGACACUGCUAUUGUUCCAAACCCACACACACUCUUGUCCCAGGUUCCACCAACUGCCACAAUAUUCACUGUAGUGGAUCUGGC